CCUACGGGAGGCAGCAGUGAGGAAUAUUGGUCAAUGGACGAGAGUCUGAACCAGCCAAGUAGCGUGAAGGAUGACUGCCCUAUGGGUUGUAAACUUCUUUUAUAUGGGAGUAAAAUGUUCCACGUGUGGGAUUUUGUAUGUACCAUAUGAAUAAGCAUCGGCUAACUCCGUGCCAGCAGCCGCGGUAAUACGGAGGAUCCGAGCGUUAUCCGGAUUUAUUGGGUUUAAAGGGUGCGUAGGUGGAUUGUUAAGUCAGUGGUGAAAGUUUGCGGCUCAACCGUAAAAUUGCAGUUGAAACUGGUGGUCUUGAGUACGGUAGAGGUGGGCGGAAUGCGUGGUGUAGCGGUGAAAUGCUUAGAUAUCACGAAGAACUCCGAUUGCGAAGGCAGCUCACUGGACUGCAACUGACGCUGAGGCUCGAAAGUGUGGGUAUCGAACAGGAUUAGAUACCCCAGUAGUC
rnacentral:rRNA from 1 species